rnacentral:rRNA from 1 species
UACAGAGGAGCCAAGCGUUGUCCGGAUUGACUGGGCGUAAAGGGCGUGCAGGCGGUUUGUUAAGUGCAGGGUGAAAGCUCCCGGCUCAACUGGGAGAGGUCCUUGCAUACUGGCGAACUCGAGGGAGGCAGAGGAAAGUGGAAUUCCCGGUGUAGUGGUGAUAUGCGUAGAUAUCGGGAGGAACACCUGUGGCGAAGGCGGCUUUCUGGGCCUUACCUGACGCUGAGACGCGAAAGCGUGGGGAGCGAACCGG